GAUGAACGCUGGCGGCGUGCUUAACACAUGCAAGUCGAACGAAGCACUUUACUUGAUUUCUUCGGAAUGAUUGUUCUGUGACUGAGUGGCGGACGGGUGAGUAACGCGUGGGUAACCUGCCUCAUACAGGGGGGAUAACAGUUGGAAACGACUGCUAAUACCGCAUAAGCGCACAGUACUGCAUGGUACAGUGUGAAAAACUCCGGUGGUAUGAGAUGGACCCGCGUCUGAUUAGCUAGUUGGUGGGGUAACGGCCUACCAAGUCGACGAUCCAUAGCCGGACUGAGAGGUUGAACGGCCACAUUGGAACUGAGAAACGGUCCAGACUCCUACGGGAGCAGCAGUGGGGAAUAUUGGGCAAUGGCGAAAGCCUGACCCAGCGACGCCGCGUGCCGGGAANAAGGUCUUCGGAUUG
rnacentral:rRNA from 1 species